rnacentral:rRNA from 1 species
CAGUAGCCGCGGUAAUACGAAGGGGGCUAGCGUUACUCGGAAUUACUGGGCGUAAAGGGCGCGUAGGCGGCGCUCCAAGUUAGGCGUGAAAGUCCUGGGCUCAACCUGGGAACUGCGCUUAAGACUGGAGUGCUUGAGGAUGGAAGAGGGUUGUGGAAUUCCCAGUGUAGAGGUGAAAUUCGUAGAUAUUGGGAAGAACACCGGUGGCGAAGGCGGCAACCUGGUCCAUUACUGACGCUGAGGCGCGACAGCGUGGGGAGCAAACAGGAUUAGAUACCCGAGUAGUCCCUGUCUCUUAUAC